UACGUAGGGAGCAAGCGUUGUCCGGAAUCAUUGGGCGUAAAGCGCGCGUAGGCGGCCCUGUAAGUCCGCUGUGAAAGUCAAAGGCUCAACCUUUGAAUGCCGGUGGAUACUGCAGGGCUAGAGUCCGGAAGAGGCAAGUGGAAUUCCUGGUGUAGCGGUGAAAUGCGCAGAUAUCGGGAGGAACAUCAGUGGCGAAGGCGGCUACCUGGCCCAAUACUGACACUCAGGUGCGACAGCGUGGGGAGCAAACAGG
rnacentral:rRNA from 1 species